rnacentral:rRNA from 1 species
AGCAGCCGCGGUAAUUCCAGCUCCAAUAGCGUAUAUUAAAGUUGUUGCAGUUAAAAAGCUCGUAGUUGAAUUUCGGGACCAAUUUGUUGGUCGUGCCUCGGUACGUACUGGUAUUAUUGGUUUCUCCCUUCUGAAGAACCAUGAUGCCAUUAAUUUGGUGUCGUGGGGAAUCAGGACUGUUACUUUGAAAAAAUUAGAGUGUUUAAAGCAGGCAUACGCUUGAAUACAUUAGCAUGGAAUAAUGAAAUAGGACGUUUGAUUCUAUUUUGUUGGUUUCUAGGAUCGACGUAAUGAUUAAUAGGGAUAGUUGGGGGCAUUAGUAUUCAAUUGUCAGAGGUGAAAUUCUUGGAUUUAUUGAAGACUAACUACUGCGAAAGCAUUUGCCAAGGAUGUUUUCAUUAAUCAAGAACGAAAGUUAGGGGAUCGAAGACGAUCAGAUACCGUCGUAGUCUUAACCAUAAACUAUGCCGACUAGGGAUCGGAUGAUGUUAAUUUU